rnacentral:lncRNA from 1 species
CUCCUCCCGGGAGCUUGGACCUGGGGCCGGCUCCAGCGGACUGGGCACCUGGCGCGGCCAAGUGCUGUGCUGGGGGGGUGGAGGCGCUUCAUCACAUUCACCCCGAAAUGGCGUCGUGAGAGAGGUGUUUUCGCGGGCUUUAGAAAGGACGAACAAAAAGGUUCAGAGAGCCACGUUUAGGGAUUUGUGCAAAACUCGCUCAGCCGGCGUGUUUGCAGAACCGGGUUUCAAAUCCAGAUUUUAAUAACUUCCAAAUCUGGUCUUUCCACUCCACUGACUUUUUUCUGGAUGAAAAUAAAUAAGCUGAGGCAUGUUCUCGGUUAUGGAAAGGAGGAGAUAUGGUCAAAAUCUAGAAGAUGCUUAGAGACAGGUGUAGAGCAAAUGCACUUUGGAGUGCCAGACCCCCGUAUCAAUUAGGAGAUGAAGGCCCGAGGCGGUAAUAGGAACUGCCAAACUAAUUAGUCCAUUUUAUGUCGUAGUUUCUCCCCAGAUGCUACGCAGGCUGAAGUUACAAAUAGCUUUAAAAACAUGGAUAAAUUGUGGUUGACAUGCUUUAUCAACCAUCAAGAAAAAUUAGGAUGUUGCGGAACAUUUCUGUAACUUCUGAAGUCUUCCUACAAGUGUUCACUGAUUCCAUUGUCUGCAUAGCUCAGUUGCUGCUCGUAGUAUUCACAUGUGUGUAAAAUAAAUGAGACGGUGUGCUGGAUGGCGCGUAACUGAACCAGAAUACGCUGUGGACAUUGUCUCCUUUUCCCAUCUGAAGAUUCAUGUUAAAACGCUCAACUGGAAAACACCCAGUUUGGAUGUAUUUAUUGAGGGAAAGAAAACAUACACAAAAUUAGCUAGGUUGGUAGAAAAUGUGACAUCUAUAUAACUAAACCAAAUAAUUGUACAUUACAUCUGCUUAAGAGAGAAAAAUGUCCGAAUUUUCCUGGGAAUAUCAAAGAGGACUAGGGAGUGGGAAAGCCAUGAAGUAUCACCUCAAAAUGGGAGAAAAGGACAUAUAAAGGAAAAGACAAUUACACAUGAAAAAAAUAAACUAAUGGACUGUGUGACAUUUUCUUGUUUUAAAACUAAUGGUAUUGAAUCUUGUGUACUUUUGCAAAUGUGGGCAAAAGAUGGGAUAGAACUUACUAGUAAUUGUCUCUGGAUGUAGAAAAAAUUCAAACUUUUUAAAACCUGAUUUCUCGCAUUCCUUGAAAUGACUUUCAACCCUUAACAAAGGUAACCUUCACACACUAGGUGUCCAACUGAAUUUGAUUCUUCAAGCCUCAUGUAACCACCAGUCUCAUUACUUCUCUUGUCUACAGUUCUGAAGCUAAGAGCUCAUUCUAGUAAAAAUGAUGGUAGAUUUUACUGAGGCAAACCAAAAGAUUCUGAACGAUGUUUGGGACACUUAUUUUAUGCAUGUUGAUAAAGAACAACUCUGGUCAAAGAAAUUUCAACGGUCCUUCAAAUAUUACAAUUGAAUUUGGCCUGUUUAUAUUUUUUCCCCUAAAGCCGCUAUUCUUAACCUGGGAUGCAAAGCCCUUUUGGUGAGUGCUCCCAGGGAAUUUAUGAACCACUGAAAUUAUAUACAUAAUUUCAUGUCUAUGUACAUUUUUCUGAGGACGAGGUCUGUAGCUUUCAUUUGCUUACUCUGCAUCUUGCCAUCCUGUUUUCUAUAACGUCUCAUUCCAGAAUUACCAAUUGAGACUAUUUCUAUGAAAACUAGAAAUAUUCCCAAAAAUGCUUUAAUUUUGUCAAACAUGAGGGCAUAGGUCAUAAUAUUGUACCACCAUGGAAGAGACAGGCUUGGGCUUUGCAGUAGACAGUCCUUGGCCUAAAUCCUGGCUCUGCCACUUGCUGGCUGUGACCUUGAGUAAAUUACUUAAUCUCACAAACACAAUUUAUUCAUUUAUAAAAAGGAACUCCUGAUAUCCACAACAUAGAUUUGUUGUGAGGAGUAAAAGAUAUGAAGUAUGCAAAGUGUCUAUCUUACAUGUUGCCUGGUGUGUAAUAGAUGUCCAAUGAAUGGGAAUCCUGUGGAAGGUUACACCUUUCAGAGAGCAGAACAGCAAUUUGAAUUAAGAUAUAAAGUUCCUCUUCAUCCCUAGUGGUAACUAUCAGUCGCUACUCAUCCUAAUGCGAGAAGAAUGCAUGUAUGUGUACGCACAUUCAUAUCUGUAACCAGAUACGGCUGUAGUUUACCCUUUCACUUGCAGAGCAUAAUACAGAUUUCUGUUCUUUUGUAUCGUCAUCAAAUUUGGUAUUGUCAGAAUUUGUCAUUUUUGGCACUUUAUUGGUUUUAAAAUGCUGUCUCACGUAUUCACUUUAUUUUUCCCUGCAGGGUGAAGAUCUUUCCAUAUUUACUGGCCAUGUUCUUAUUUAUUGCUCAUUUUCCUAUUGGUUUUGGUUUUUUUUCUUUUUGAUUUGUGGAAGCCUAAGAAAAUGCAGCUAGUAAUUAAGAUACCAUUUUGGUCUUGCUUGUAAAUGCUGUUGCCUUCAUUAAAUUUCACACUUGUGAAAAGGAGCUAUUAAGAGACAGCCUAAGGUAACACUUUUGAA